GUGUGUGGGGUGGAUUCUUUCUAUCAUCUGCCAACGUAUUAUCCUUAUUGGAAUCUUCCUCUCAUUUUUCUUUCUUGGAGUGUGGCCCCCAACCUUCCCCCUGUCGCUCCUGCGAUGUCAGUUCAUUAGCCCAGUCUUGGAUUGAACAAAGAAGUGACAUGGAUGCCUCCAAGCUUUUCUAUACACACUGCCUCUGGGAGUCGUCCCAGCAUCCAAGGCCCAGUGGCCACAGAGGAAUCUUCCCAGAUACCUCCUAAUUACACCUGAACCCCUGCAAGGAAAAGCCAAGCUAUUGUACACAGGCUGCACGCCUUACAUUUCCACAAGCAAAGUUUAGGGGCUCCAAUUCCUCUACAUCCUUGGCAACAUGAUUUUCAGUUUUCCUGAGUGUGGCCAUUCCAUAUGUGUAGGGGUGUCACUGUGGUUUAAUUUGCAUUUCCAUAGCGUCUAAUGCUGUGUGAUGCCUGUUCACGAGCUUGUUGAAUGUUUGUAUAUCUUACCUCAAGUCUUUUGUCUACUUUAAAAAUGGGGAUGUUGUCUUGUUUCCCUGUACGAGUUUGUGGUGUUUUCUGGAUAACAGGCUCUUGUCAGAUGUACUAUACAUAGAUUUUUCUUCUAUUCUGAUUUUUUUUUCAUGUUGUACUUGGUGACUUUUCAUGUAGAAAAGUUUUUAAUUUGGGGUAACUCUAAUGUAUGCUUUCUUAUGUUGCUUGCCUUUGGUGUCAGAUCUGAGAAGUCAUGGCUAAAUGCAAGAUCAUGAACGUUUAUCUUCAUGUGUUAUUCUAGAGUCUUUAAUUUUACCUGUUACAUUUAAGCCCUUUAUAUAUUUUGAGUUACUACUUGUAUGUGAUGUGUGUUAAGGAUUUAGUUUCAUUUCUAUGCAUGUGAAGAGCCAGUUUCCCCACACUGUUCACUGAAGAGACACAUUCUUUCCCUGAUUUAAUGUUGUUCACCAUUGUCAGAAAUCAGUUGACAGUUUGUGGUCAUUUUUGGGCUUUCCAUUCAGCUCCAUUCAUCUGUAUAUACAUUGGACCCUUGAACAACAUGGGAAUUAGUGUUAAUGACACCCCACAGAGUCAGAAUCUACAUAGAUCAUCUGAAUAUCACACAACUAAAGUAUUAUCCUAAAACUGAUUUCCUAUUUUGACUGGAAGUCUUACCAAUAAUAUGAAUAGUUGAUUAACAUAUAUUUUAUAUAUUAUACAUAUUAUGUGCUGUAUUCUUACAGUAAAGUAAGGUGGAGAAAAUCAAAUGUUUCAAACUCGUGUCUCAACACUUUUCAAUAUAUUUAUGGGAAAAAAUGUUUAAGUGGACCUGCACAUUCACAUCCCCUGCUGUCCAAGGGUCAACUGUGAGUCUAUGCCAGUGUCACAGUGCUUUAUUUACUGUUACUCUGUACUAAGAUUCUAUUUUGGGAAGCCUGAGCCUCCAGAUAUUCUUUUCCAAGAUUGUUUCAAAGGGCUCAUUGGGGUCCCUUGCAAUUCCAAAUGUGUGAGGAUCAGCUGGCGAAUUCCUUCCGAAAAGGAUUUGGCAAUUUUCAUAGGAAACAGAUAAUUUCCACUUGUGCCAUUGCCAUCAUAGCGAUAUAAAGUCUUCCAUUAUUAUGGGAGGACCUUAUAUUUACUUAGGUUUUAUAUAGAUUUUAAAUUAUCAUUAUUUUAUAAUUUUCAAUAUACAAGAUUUGCAGCUUGAGUAAGUC